GUGCCAGCAGCCGCGGUAAUACGAAGGGGGCUAGCGUUGUUCGGAAUUACUGGGCGUAAAGCGCACGUAGGCGGACAUUUAAGUCAGGGGUGAAAUCCCGGGGCUCAACCCCGGAACUGCCUUUGAUACUGGGUGUCUUGAGUGUGGAAGAGGUGAGUGGAAUUGCGAGUGUAGAGGUGAAAUUCGUAGAUAUUCGCAGGAACACCAGUGGCGAAGGCGGCUCACUGGUCCACAACUGACGCUGAGGUGCGAAAGCGUGGGGAGCAAACAGGAUUAGAUACCCCGGUAGUCC
rnacentral:rRNA from 1 species